rnacentral:rRNA from 1 species
UCCGGUGGUGAUAGGAGAGGGGAAACACCCGUUCCCAUUCCGAAUACGGAAGUUAAGCCCUCUACCGGCGAUGGUACUAUAUGAGCAGUCAUAUGGGAGAGUAGCAAACUGCCGGGA